AGCAGCCGCGGUAAUUCCAGCUCCAGUAGCGUAUAUUAAAGUUGUUGCAGUUAAAAAGCUCGUAGUUGAAUUUCGGAAUCUGUCCGUUGGCCGGGCUUCAUUGUCCGUACUGGUGUGAUGGGUUCUUACCUUCUGAAUAACCAGCAUGCCAUUCAUUUGGUGCGCUGGGGAAGCAGGACUAUUACCUUGAAAAAAUUAGAGUGCUCAAAGCAGGCUAGUGCCUGAAUACAUUAGCAUGGAAUAAUAAAAUAGGACGGCAUGGUUCUAUUUUGUUGGUUUCUAGGAUCACCGUAAUGAUUAAUAGGGAUAGUUGGGGGCAUUAGUAUUCAAUUGUCAGAGGUGAAAUUCUUGGAUUUAUUGAAGACUAACUUCUGCGAAAGCAUUUGCCAAGGAUGUUUUCAUUAAUCAAGAACGAAAGUUAGGGGAUCGAAGACGAUCAGAUACCGUCGUAGUCUCAACCAUAAACUAUGCCGACUAGGGAUCGGACGAUGUUAAUUUUUUAAUGACUCG
rnacentral:rRNA from 1 species